rnacentral:rRNA from 1 species
AUCUAUGGCCAUGCCACCCUGAACAAGCCCAAUCCCGUCUGAUCUCGGAAGCUAAGCAGGGUCGGCCCUGGUUAAUACUUGGAUGGGAGAUCAUCUAGAAAGACCAGGUGCUGUAGGCA